rnacentral:piRNA from 1 species
UGGGAAGGACCUCGGAUAAAAUA